AAUAUACCGGUUCUCGUUAGAUCACCGAAGUCAAGCAUCAUUGGGCGCGGUCAGGUACUUGGGUGGGUGACCACCUGAACA